UAUGUAGACAAUGUUUACUGUUGCGCAUUUUGUCUCCGUGACAGAGCGGGGGGUUCGACUCCCAAGGGACGCGAAUUUACGUGAAGCUUAAAAAGUCCCAAUUCUUAUGCAUAUGGAAUACAAAUUCACAAAAGCUUAUGGAAUUAUAUUUUUGUGCUUAUUUCGAACUUGAACCCAUAUUUUCAAGGCGGUGCUGGCACCACAUCUAUGGAGGCGAGCCAAAACUACCCACAAUCCACUGCGUUCACACGCUGCACGGGAUAUAAAAAAUGGCAGAGGGAAAGCAGUACACGUUCAAAUGGUCAGCCCAGCAAACGGAGGAUUUUGUGCACCUAAGGGUGACCCACAAACAUGUUGUCAAAUAAAUGCACCACCGAUCAUUUGCAAUGUUUGUAAUUUGUAAUGAACGUAUAUAAUUGUAUUUUAUAUAAUAUACUUAUGUGUUCAAAGCACUGGUAGAAUGAAUGAAU